CGAUUUCGGUACUCCUACCCGAUGGGGGGACUAGAACUGUUUAUCACCCUGGAGCCAGUACUCUCCCAACCCACCCAAGGCGGGCUCACGGACCUUGAAGGCAGUGAAGGCACCUCUGCUGCAAAUGUUUCAACGCUCCCCCUAUCAUCUCCAUCCC